CUCAAAAGCAUAGAGAGCGCCACUAUUUUCAGCGACUUAGGUACGCCGGAAGUAGGAAGGUCCGUCUUCCGGGACGUGACAUUAUAUAAAAAUAUAUUAAAAGCGUAUAUAGCAAUAAACGUGAUAUGUAUAUGUGACCUAAUACUCUGUAUUCUGUUCGGGAUACGAUUUAGAAGAGUUUCACGUUUUGAUGUCAUCGAUGAAAUAAUCCUCACUUUUUGCUGUUUUAUACUUUUGAAAGUUACGCCAUUUCUACGUAAGUUUUGCAUGUAUUGUUUAUAUUAUUACAUAUUGUUUAUAUGAUAAUCUAUUAUAUGAUCAUCUAUUUAAACUUAAAUCAUUUCUUAAAUCCCGAAUCGAAAUAUAGACGUCGCACUCUUCUCGAGAGUUACGGAGAAUAAACGGAGGGUCACGUAAUAACCAUUUGCGUAUGUUGCCAAACCUCCGUUAUCCAGUUACAUGGCAGUUUAUAUCCAUUUAACGUCUUCGGAGCAGAGAUGAGCGAAUUUGUAAUUGACUAUUACCAAAUUGCAAAUGCUCAAAACAAUGAAUAAUUAAAUGUGAUUUAAUUACACAUUACUUUGAACAUUUGUAAUUAAACACCAUUGAAUUACUAAUUUGUUUGAACAUUUGUAAUGGAUGUUCAAAGUAAUUAAAUUACACUAUUGUAAUGUAAUUACAUUUGUGUAAUUUAUUUACAUUGGUAUAAUUUAAUUACAUUUGUGUAAUUUAAUUACGUCUGUGUAAUUUAAUUACAUUUUAAUUUUUAUUCGAAUUGAGUUAACAUAAGUUCAUAACUUAUGAAAAAUAUCUUAUGCAUGGGAGAAAGCUUUUUUUUCAGACUCGUAUGAUUGCCGCCCAAGUAGAAGGCAAACUUCACGCUCGUCUAAAAAAUGUCGCUUUCUCCGCUAGAUACACAAUAUAUUAUUUUUGCAGUAUGUACACUCUCACGUUCUCUUUGUCGUUAACUCAAUUCGAAUAAAAAUUAAAAUGUAAUUAAAUUGCACAGAUGUAAUUAAAUUACACAAAUGUAAUUAAAUUACACAAACGUAAUUAAAUCAUGCAAAUGUAAUUAAAUCACACAAAUGUAAUUACGUUACAAUAGUGUAAUUUAAUUACUUUGGACAUCCAUUACAAAUGCUCAAAAUAAUGAGUAAUUAAAUGGAACUAAAUUACAAAUGCUGAAAAUAAUGAAUAAUUAAAUGGAUUUCAAUUACAAAUUAUAAAAGUAAUAUGUAAUUGAAUGUGUAAUUUGGAGACAAAAGUAUUUGCUGCCACCCAUCUGAUUGUGAAAUUGUUAGUGUUUAUACUAAAUAAACGCAUUCUGUCAACUCGACUUUGCUCCGUCUAUCUAUUAAUUCUCUGUGCAUUCGUCUAUUCCUCCAGCGGAUUUGCGAAUUCGCGCAACGAGCAUUCCGCGCUCAUUACUGAGCGGUUCCGGCAUCUCGCGCCAUUGAUCGCAUUCGCUAACAAUCUCGCGCGAACAACAGCAAAAAAAAGGUAAAUGUUUAAUUUAACCCUCUUAGCUCGGAUUUCACCCAGAUAGCCAAGCGUUAAAGCAAGUCAUAACUCUGCUUUAACAACUAUUUGCUGCUUUAACAGCAUAAAUAUGCAAAUACGAUUAACCAGUAUUCAGAUUAGAAGAGCUGCUUUUUCUACUUUCUAAACGCAGCCAAUGAGUCUAGGCUCGUCAAAAUCCGAGCUGAGGGGGUUAAACGAAACAUUUACCUUUUUAUUUAUUUAUAUUAUAUUGAUUUAUUUGUUAGAUUGUGUUUAUUAAUAUUUCUUAUAAUGUAGGAAACUUUGUUAAUUUUGUACACGUGUGGUGUGUGUGAGACCAUUUGUGUUAAAGAUGAGUUUUUACAUCAUCCCUGUUUAGAAGGAUAUAAUGCAGUUCAUGUGAUGAAAAUUUAUAUUUUUAUCCCCAAACCGGUGAGUAUUAGUGACAUUUUUUAAAUGACAUAUUUUGUAAGUAGUAUUAGUGGAUACUGUAAUGUGCAGAUGAGGGACAAAUUAUCCGCACGAGUUUGGUGGAUGGUGCAGAGGCGGUCGUGAUGGAGACCACCGAAAAUGAAAAUGCCACUAUUAAUUGGCGAAACAGCUCAUUGAAAAAAUUCAGAAACGUCCAGCGCUAUGGAAUUUUAAGCUUCCUCUUAGUCAACGGGGCAUGCAAAUAAAGAAAAAGCUGUGGGAGGAAAUAUUUAUAUCGAUGAACGGUAACAUUUUAUAAUCAUAACUUAAGUGGAAUAAAAUUAAUAACUGGAAUUGAAAACUGGGAUAAAAUUAACUAAUGUGUCAUUGAAUAUGUUUUUGUCUUUUUCAGGUACAAUGGACAGUGUGACCAUGAAAAAAAAAUGGAAAUCAUUGUGCGAUACAUUUAGAAUCCACAAAAAUAAGUAGCACCAACCGAGUGGCUCAGCCACGAAAAAGUAAUUGGAUGCAUUUUGAACGGAUGCAGUUUCUCUAUGAUAUGCAGCUUGAAAACGAGUACGUGUACACAAAUUAAUCCAGUGAUACAUUUAUAUUUAUCGCAUACAAAUUUAUUCCAAAACUGUAUGUUAUAGAACGGUAACCAACAUCACAGCGUUUGAAGAAUCCAAUAACGACAUAAUAAUGAUAACAGCAUUGGUGAUGAUGCCAGCAAUGGUCGUGUAUCACGUAUGUUAAAUAGUCCGAAGAACCAGGAACCGUUAUAAUUCUACUGACAGUUCCGCCUCUUGAUCCUAAACAGUCACUGAACAAUUCUUACGAACUAUCCCUGUUGUUCCAACCGUACCGCUGUCAAUCCGGCGCCCCCCGCUAAAGAAUAAACAAGAAACGUCACCGCGCCGGAAAGAGGGAGAGAGAAAGGAUACUUAGAGCCCAACAAAGAGCUCUAGAGCGGGCUUUCAAAGACAUCGAGAGCUUCGUGGGUUACCCGCUGCAACAUACCCCUCUUCCUCCUCUUGUCACUACCAUAGACGCUCCGCCAGGAAGAGCUAUCUUCUCCAUCGAUCUUUUCCAAGAGGACACCGUCCCUCUAGAGACCUAUAAGCAAUUAACAACCAACUCCCCUGAAAUCAUUACGCUCAGUGAUUCCGAGGGCGAUUUUUCACAGUUAGAACCAUUAGACCUCACAGUAAAUUACGAUAGCGCUACAAUUUCACAAAUUAUCAUAUUUCCUCCGCCCGAAAUUUAAGGGAACCUCGUUGACACUUGUAACAAUAAUUAAUACCAUACAUUAUUUUAUUAAUAGAUACGUACGCGUAUGUGGUAUCUGUUUAUGUAUUAUUAUAGAACAUUUACAGUGUUUUCCUGUGUUUAUGUAAAUUUUACAUAAGUAUAUAUCCUUUUGUAAUAACGAAAUAUAUGAAGUAUUUGUGCCCUAAUAACAACGUAAUUCUCUCAGUUAAAAUUUUGUAGUAUUACAAAUUGCUUUGUUACAUAUUAAGGUUGUAAGAAAUCAUAACAUACUCUCAUAAUAAAAUCAUGAUAUUCUUUUUAUAGAAACAUA
rnacentral:lncRNA from 1 species